CUUAACACAUGCAAGUCGAGGGGUAUUGUUCUUCGGAAUGAGAGACCGGCGCACGGGUGCGUAACGCGUAUGCAAUCUACCUUUUACAGAGGGAUAGCCCAGAGAAAUUUGGAUUAAUACCUCAUAGCAUAGUAGCUCGGCAUCGAGCAACUAUUAAAGUCACAACGGUAAAAGAUGAGCAUGCGUCCCAUUAGCUAGUUGGUAAGGUAACGGCUUACCAAGGCUACGAUGGGUAGGGGUCCUGAGAGGGAGAUCCCCCACACUGGUACUGAGACACGGACCAGACUCCUACGGGAGGCAGCAGUGAGGAAUAUUGGACAAUGGGCGCAAGCCUGAUCCAGCCAUGCCGCGU
rnacentral:rRNA from 2 species